rnacentral:rRNA from 1 species
UAGAGUUUGAUCCUGGCUCAGGACGAACGCUGGCGGCGUGCUUAACACAUGCAAGUCGAACGAUGAAGCCCAGCUUGCUGGGUGGAAGAGUGGCGAACGGGUGAGUAACACGUGAGUAACCUGCCCUUCACUCUGGGAUAAGCGCUGGAAACGGCGUCUAAUACUGGAUAUGACUCCUACAGGCAUCUGUUGGGGGUGGAAAGAUUUAUCGGUGAAGGAUGGGCUCGCGGCCUAUCAGGUUGUUGGUGAGGUAACGGCUCACCAAGCCUACGACGGGUAGCCGGCCUGAGAGGGUGACCGGCCACACUGGGACUGAGACACGGCCCAGACUCCUACGGGAGGCAGCAGUGGGGAAUAUUGCACAAUGGGCGCAAGCCUGAUGCAGCAACGCCGCGUGAGGGAUGACGGCCUUCGGGUUGUAAACCUCUUUUAGUAGGGAAGAAGCGUAAGUGACGGUACCUGCAGAAAAAGCACCGGCUAACUACGUGCCAGCAGCCGCGGUAAUA